CUCAUUAAUGUAUUUUCUCUUUCUCCUCCCCCAACCUCAUCAAAAAUUUUCCAGACGGUUUGUAUCCCUUUUUAUUUCAAUUUGGUUUACCCCCUCGUUGUCCAAUAACUAAUGUUCAUUCCCACUAGCACCCCAAUCCGUCUUCUGUCUUCCUUUAGUGCCAUUUUGAAUUUAAAUUUUGAGCAUUUAUUAAUUAUGUUUCUAAUUAACCUUCCACCUUUCACUCAACCAAUCAAAUUUCUUCUCUAGAUGUUUCCCCAGUUAUCUCUUCCACUCAUAUCAUAAAUCUUCCUCAUCUCCAUAUCUGGAUUCUUCAUCCUCUCCCCCUCCAUUUGACGCUUAACCCAUGAAACGCUCCUCAUCAUUAUCUUCAUCACAGUUUUACUUCCCAGAACCUAUCUUUCAUGCACAUGGCUUCUUCUCCCCGCCGACAACGAUGUCGUUUCACUCUCCGAGCCCCAGUCCCCGUCUUCGAAAAAGGACCCAUAUGAUCCAAUGGUGCCUCCUGAAAUUCUAGAUUUGAUUGACAAAACGUUCUUAUUCGAGAUUGAAGUUGACAACGAUUCCAAUUCUAGGUUCAAGUCAUCCUAUAAGGUGUAGCUGGUAUCAAAUAACAGAUGGUAGUGUGGUGGUUUGCACUUGGAAAUUUUCCACCAUGUCCCUGAUUCGAACCCAUUUGACACCAUUUUAUUUUCAUUUUUGGACAAAAUGGCUGUAAAAAUGCUAUGAUCAAGAAUUGAACCCACUACAAUGAGAAUAUCUUCCCAUAACUUACCGCCAGCCAAGGAUAAGACCUGAAUGAAGAAUUUAUUGUUGAGUAGUUGUUGAUCUUCACAAAGACACUCAGGUCUAUACACCCCUAAUUAAUUCUAUUGUACCUACUGGAAAGGUGUUAGGCUCUUCUAAUUCAAAUAUUAAUCAUGGGAGGCCAGAAAUCAAUUAUAAGGGGAAGAGUCUUUACCGUACUACUGUGGUUGAUGCUGGAACUAAAACUAUUGAUGUUCAUAUUGCUGACUAUGAGUACCUCAGUAGUUCAAGCCCUGAAUUUGUGGGGAAAGAGCUGACCUCUUCCUCUGCAAACAACAAACUGAACAAGGGAAAUAAGAAUUCUUAGGGGAAGGUGUUUGUCAUUAUCUCAUUACUACUGUUUCUAUUCUUUUCUUCUGUUAUUCAGUGGGUUCAAAGACCUUUUAUAACUUUGCUUGAUUUUAUUGUCUUAUACUAUGGAAAAUCACAAGGUGUUGUUACUCAAAGUCAGAAUCCAUAUGGUAAUUCUGUUGCUGUUGUUGGAACUAAAACAAUUGAUGAUCAGACUGCUGAUUUUGAUUAUCUUUUAAGUAUAAGUCCUGAGCCUGUUCCUGAUCCUGUUACUACAACCACCAGUUCUCAAUUGCCUGAGAAUGUGUUGAUUUCUUCUUCUGCCUGCAAGAAAUUGAGCAAGGCAAAUAAGAAGACUAAGGGGAAGACUAUGGAGAAUGAGGCUGUAGGUGAUGGAAAAUCUGAAACUGUUGUUUCUCCCAAUCCCACUCCUGAGAAAUUUUCUCUCAAUGAAAUUUAGUAUUCCCCUCCCUCGAAGCGUCCAAGCCCUGUUGAUGUGGAGGUCAUUGGAUUUGUGUCUGCAGGCAAGAAACUGCUAAAGAUUGUUAAGAAGGAAAAGAUGUGAUGGAAUUUGUUUUUCAUUGUUCUUUUAAUUUUGGAUGUAUUUUGAAUGGUUCUUUGAACCCUAGAUCCUUUGAAGUGUUCUGCAUUUUGUUUUUUGUUGCUGUAUGCAACUAGAUGGUUUGGGAUCCCUAUAUGGUUUAGUUUGAUUUAUUUUGCUUGGGAUUAGUAACACA